rnacentral:rRNA from 1 species
AUUGAACGCUGGCGGCAGGCCUAACACAUGCAAGUCGAGCGGAUGAAGGGAGCUUGCUCCUGGAUUCAGCGGCGGACGGGUGAGUAAUGCCUAGGAAUCUGCCUGGUAGUGGGGGAUAACGUCCGGAAACGGGCGCUAAUACCGCAUACGUCCUGAGGGAGAAAGUGGGGGAUCUUCGGACCUCACGCUAUCAGAUGAGCCUAGGUCGGAUUAGCUAGUUGGUGGGGUAAAGGCCUACCAAGGCGACGAUCCGUAACUGGUCUGAGAGGAUGAUCAGUCACACUGGAACUGAGACACGGUCCCGACUCCUACGGGAGGCAGCAGUGGGGAAUAUUGGACAAUGGGCGAAAGCCUGAUCCAGCCAUGCCGCGUGUGUGAAGAAGGUCUUCGGAUUGUAAAGCACUUUAAGUUGGGAGGAAGGGCAGUAAGUUAAUACCUUGCUGUUUUGACGUUACCAACAGAAUAAGCACCGGCUAACUUCGUG